rnacentral:rRNA from 1 species
UACGUAGGGUGCAAGCGUUAAUCGGAAUUACUGGGCGUAAAGCGUGCGCAGGCGGUUUUGUAAGUCUGUCGUGAAAAUCCCCGGGCUCAACCUGGGAAUUGCGAUGGAGACUGCAAGGCUAGAAUCUGGCAGAGGGGGGUAGAAUUCCACGUGUAGCAGUGAAAUGCGUAGAGAUGUGGAGGAACACCGAUGGCGAAGGCAGCCCCCUGGGUCAAGAUUGACGCUCAUGCACGAAAGCGUGGGGAGCAAACAGG